GAUGAACGCUAGCGGCAGGCCUUAUACAUGCAAGUCGAGGGGCAGCAUAAAUUACUUGUAAUUUGAUGGCGACCGGCGAACGGGUGCGUAACGCGUAUGCAACUUACCUUUUACUAGAGAAUAGCCAAGAGAAAUUUUGAUUAAUGCUCUAUGUUCUUAUUUACUCGCAUGAGUAAAUAAGCAAAGCUCCGGCGGUAAAAGAUGGGCAUGCGUCCUAUUAGCUUGUAGGUGAGGUAAUGGCUCACCUAAGCUCCGAUAGGUAGGGGUCCUGAGAGGGAGAUCCCCCACACUGGUACUGAGACACGGACCAGACUUCUACGGAAGGCAGCAGUAAGGAAUAUUGGACAAUGGAGGCAACUCUGAUCCAGCCAUGCCGCGUGAAGGAAGACGGCCUUAUGGGUUGUAAACUUCUUUUAUACAGGAAGAAACCUUUCCACGUGUGGAAAGCUGACGGUACUGUAAGAAUAAGGAUCGGCUAACUCCGUG
rnacentral:rRNA from 1 species